rnacentral:rRNA from 1 species
GAUGAACGCUAGCUACAGGCUUAACACAUGCAAGUCGAGGGGAAACGACAUCGAAAGCUUGCUUUUGAUGGGCGUCGACCGGCGCACGGGUGAGUAACGCGUAUCCAACCUGCCCAUCACUUGGGAAUAACCUUGCGAAAGUAAGACUAAUACCCAAUGACAUCCCACGAAGACAUCUGAAUGGGAUUAAAGAUUUAUCGGUGAUGGAUGGGGAUGCGUCUGAUUAGCUUGUUGGCGGGGUAACGGCCCACCAAGGCAACGAUCAGUAGGGGUUCUGAGAGGAAGGUCCCCGACAUUGGAACUGAGACACGGUCCAAACUCCUACGGGAGGCAGCAGUGAGGAAUAUUGGUCAAUGGGCGAGAGCCUGAACCAGCCAAGUAGCGUGCAGGAUGACGGCCCUAUGGGUUGUAAACUGCUUUUAUAAGGGAAUAAAGUGGGUCUCGUGAGACUUUUUGCAUGUACCUUAUGAAUAAGGACCGGCUAAUUCCGUG